rnacentral:rRNA from 1 species
GACGAACGCUGGCGGCGUGCCUAACACAUGCAAGUCGAACGGAGCCAGCCCCUUCGGGGACUGACUUAGUGGCGAACGGGUGAGUAACGCGUGAGAAACCUGCCUUUCAGUGGGGGACAACAGUUGGAAACGACUGCUAAUACCGCAUAAUGUCAUUUGGGGGCAUCCUCGAAUGACCAAAAGAUUUAUUGCUGAAAGAUGGUCUCGCGUCUGAUUAGCUAGAUGGCGGGGUAACGGCCCACCAUGGCGACGAUCAGUAGCCGGUCUGAGAGGAUGAACGGCCACAUUGGGACUGAGAUACGGCCCAGACUCCUACGGGAGGCAGCGGUGGGGAAUAUUGGGCAAUGGGGGAAACCCUGACCCAGCAACGCCGCGUGAAGGAAGAAGGCCU